GCACAGGUCUGAGAGGGGCAGCGAUGUGUGCAUAUCCCAGGGUCCUGGCCCAGACCUCUGGAGCUGUUGGAGCUGCAGAGAAGAUGCAGCGUUCAGCCCUAAACAGAUGGGAACCUGUCAGCACAACGUGGAGAUAAUUAUCCAUUUGAGCCAUGGGAAGCUUCGUAGCUGAGAGGAAGAUGCUGCAGCCAACACAGCUCUGCUUUAACAUCUUAUCAGUUUUCUCAGGCGGAGCAUAUUGGUUUAGAAGAAGGAGAAUUCCCGAUGGAUUUUUGGGUUAUGGAAGCAGCCGGUUUCUGAGAUGGGCACGUGUGUGAUGCUCACGGUCACCUAAGCAAGUAAAGCUUUUCCCCUUGAAAAUACCCCCUGAGCAUCUGAGUGAAGAGAGCCCAAAGCUGGAGGUGGUAACCAGAGCUCCCAGGCAACAGCAACAUUACAGUUGGGUUUUAAUGUCACAGACGACCUCUUCCACGACAAAGCCAUGUGCAAAGAGAACGCAGAAGAGAUUGGUCCCUGCGGACUCACGGGCUUCCCAGGUGUGAGCACCAAGCAGCCAG